UAAGUGAUGAUUCCAGAUGGGAAACUAAAACCCUAUCACUGCUUAGAAAAUGGAUUUACUAAAGCAACCAGGAUUCGCCUCCUUUGACCCUCUCUUGCUAGCCUGAGAUAAAGAGGAGCUGAAGUCUUCCCUUACAGGGGCCCAGGCAAGCCUAAUAGUAGUUGGGGAAGAGGCAUAAAUUAGUAUCCUUGUAGCAGAGGCUUAAAUACCAUAAAUUAAAACAAAGAAACCCUUUGUUUUGGUGCAGGUAGGUGGAAGUGUCCCAUAGAGUAGGCAAAGCAGGCUAUUCAGCCACCGGCCUCUGCUUCAACACCAGCAAGGGGACAGUUGUAUUGGUGACUUCAUCUAACAAUGAAGGUUGUUUCCUAUGAAAGCUUAUGCCUCUCUGAACCGGUUAGUCUCCAAGGUGCUACCCUACUCUACCUUCUGCUUUGUGGCUUCAAUGACACCUGUUCACUAGGAAGCAGCUGAGACCCAAGCAUGGCACAUAAGCCAUUGAGCAGCCAUUGGAGGACAGACUCACUUGCUAUCAAGCUGAGUUUAAUUAGAAUCAGCUGCUUAGCAGGGGGCAAAAGGCUUCAUAGCCUAUUACCCCUCUCAGGAGUCACAUAGUUCUCUUUCAGGAAGAUACAAGCCAUGUAGGGACAUUACAUUUGCAGUGCUAUACGUGCCCUUGUUGUGCCACAAAAAUCAAGCACAGACAUGUACGCCCCUGUAGCCCUACAACAGUAGCGGGACUGCUGGAAAAUACUGCUGGGUAAAACAGGAAACUAGCACUAUGUCUAACGUGUGCACAGUGAUAGAGGUUGAAAUACAAAGAUUGGGCCAGCAGUUGUAGUGUAAAUCAAAAGAAAUUCUAUUGAAGCCAAUGGACUUACUCCAGAUUUACCCUCAGGGUCCUACAACAAGGAAUAAACCCAUUGUCUCCAUGAGCCAAAGGUGCUGAGAACUGCUAUUUCCCUUCCUGCCUGUGCUUUUCUCUGCCUCUAACGCGGCCGAUAAUGGGUAUUAAAGAGCCUGUUCCUGAGCUGGUGUAUAUCAGUGUAGUGCUAGUGAAGCCUAUGGAGGCACACUGAUUCAUAUCAGCAGAAAUUUGGCCCCAGUGUUGAUAUUGUUUUUCUGUCUUCCUAUAAUUCCACAUCCUCUCAUGAAAUAAUGCUGAGCAGCCUUGUCAACACAAUUUCAUAGCCAUGCUAGAGCCUACCUUUUGUGCAGUAUUUCUGAGUAUGUCCACUCCAGAAACAGUUUGGGAAAAUAGAUUGAAAAAAUCCAUCAGAAACAGCGGCACCAGGCUGUUUUCAGUUCAUAUCUGGCUCUUAAUCAUAUGCUGGAGCUCCUGGAAACAUAGCUGGAUAUGCAUGCCCAUGAGUAUUCAUUAAGAAAAUAAAAAAGAACUAAACUUUGUCUGUCCCUACUUAUACUCAGGCAUUGUGCAAAGGCCUAGUAGAUCAUCAUACUUUCCACUUCUUCUGUCUGGGGACCUGGGGAGUCUUAGUGAUUAAUUAAGCCUCACAACAGCCAUAUCCCCAUUUUAGAGAUAGGGAAAUUAAGGCUGAGAAAACUCAUGCCGAAUCCACACCUGCCAACACCCAGCCUUGCAUUUUCACCAUGUUAGCCUUCCUUCCCCUCCAGACGUUGGCAACGAACAGAAGUGCCACCUGGCACCAGUGCAAAAUUUGCCUUUUUUUGAAGUUUCUAAAAUUUCUGCUGGGAAGGAGACAACAAUAUAAUUAUCAUCAACAACAAGCUGGGAUGAAAAGUUAUACCUUGCCUUCUACUCUGGGUAAAUACAUUGUCUCAGUGUACCUGGGUAUGGGUAUCUUAGAGAGUCUGGUUCCAAUUAUCUAGCUCCUAAAGACUCUAGUUGCUCCACACUGAAAAUACAGGAGCUGAAUUCUGAUCAGCUACACCGAAGUCUGGAACAGCCCCAAUGAUGAAACUAAGAUCAACCUCUAGCCCUUAUUGUCUAUUUCUACCAUGCUACAGGAAUUAUACAUAAUACAUUGAAGUAGAUAAGGGGUUCAGGAGAACAAACACAGCCAAAGUCCCCUAAGUAUACAGGUCAUAUUUCCCCAAAAUAGAGACAUCUGCAUCUCCAAAUUUAGAAAUGAUUUUUCCCUUUCCAAAUGGGUAAUAACCCAGGGAGCGCUGUACAUAUUUUUUUUCUAUUUUGAAUUCUGUUAACUGACAAUUUAACCUAAAAUCCUUCGUAUUUUCUACUUGUUCAGCUGUAAAUAGAGACUGACAGUUUAUUUUCAACAUCCUGGUUAAAAAAAAAAAAAAAGAAAAAAAACAUUUGAAAUAAAUACUUAUGGCUCCAUGACAGACUACAGACGUGAAGUCGAUGCUCCAUAGCAAUCUCUUGGAGCUGUCACACUCUGUGAUCGGUCUUUUACAAACACAAACACUGUUGAUUUCUUAUCAAAUGUAAAACCUCCACAGCUCUUUCUUAAAUGGUUACCACUAGCAUGAAAUUGACAUUGUGAAUCACAUGUGACACUGACUUGUCUGCCUUGUAAUUGAUCUGUGCUUAGGAAAGGAGACAGAGCCUGUACAAGCUUCAGUCCCAAUCACUGAGUCUUCAGCACAUACCAAGCUCUCAGCAAUCUGCUCAGGACCCAAGUGAUGGCAAAUUGUUCUAAAUGAUAGAAAACUGUAAGGAGGAGGAAGGGGGGAAAGGAGCUCGAUUCAUCUAAGUUGUGUGUGUAUGUGUGUGUGUG